UUAAGCAUAUCAAUAAGCGGAGGAAAAGAAACUAACAAGGAUUCCCCUAGUAACUGCGAGUGAAGCGGGAAGAGCUCAAAUUUGAAAUCUGGCAGUCCUUGACUGUCCGAGUUGUAAUCUAGAGAAGUGUUACCUGUGCUGGACCAUGUAAAAGUCUCCUGGAAUGGAGCAUCACAGAGGGUGAGAAUCCCGUCUUUGACAUGGACUGCCUGUGCGUUAUGGUGCGCUCUCAAAGAGUCGAGUUGUUUGGGAAUGCAGCUCAAAAUGGGUGGUAAAUGCCAUCUAAAGCUAAAUAUUGGCGAGAGACCGAUAGCGAACAAGUACCGUGAGGGAAAGAUGAAAAGAACUUUGGAAAGAGAGUUAAACAGUACGUGAAAUUGCUGAAAGGGAAACGCUUGAAGUCAGUCACGUUGGCUGGAAAUCAGCCCUGCUUCUGCAUGGUGUACUUUCUGGUCUGACGGGUCAGCAUCAAUUUUGACCAUUGGAUAAAGUCUCUGGGAAUGUGGCAUCUUUGGAUGUGUUAUAGCCCUGGGUCGCAUACGGUGGUUGGGAUUGAGGAACUCAGCACGCCGCAAGGCCAGGUUUCGACCAUGUUCGUGCUUAGGAUGCUGGCAUAAUGGCUUUAAUCGACCCGUCUUGAAACACGGACCAAGGAGUCUAACAUGCCUGCGAGUGUUUGGGUGGAAAACCCAUGCGCGCAAUGAAAGUGAAAGUUGAGAUCCCUUCAGGGAGCAUUGACGCCUGGACCAGACCUUUUGUGACGGAUCCACGGUAGAGCAUGCAUGUUGGGACCCGAAAGAUGGUGAACUAUGCCUGAAUAGGGUGAAGCCAGAGGAAACUCUGGUGGAGGCUCGUAGCGAUUCUGACGUGCAAAUCGAUCGUCAAAUUUGGGUAUAGGGGCGAAAGACUAAUCGAACCAUCUAGUAGCUGGUUCCUGC
rnacentral:rRNA from 1 species